rnacentral:rRNA from 1 species
AACGAACGCUGGCGGCGUGCCUAACACAUGCAAGUCGAGCGCGAAAGUCCCUUCGGGGGCAAGUAGAGCGGCGGACGGGUGAGUAAUACGUGGAUAAUCUUCCCUCGAGCUUGGGAUAACCCUGCGAAAGCGGGGCUAAUACCGGAUAAGACCACAUGUCAUAUGCCAUGUGGUAGAAGGUGGCUUAUAUUUAUAUGAGCUAUCACUUGAGGAUGAGUCCAUGGCCUAUCAGCUUGUUGGUGAGGUAAGAGCUCACCAAGGCUAUGACGGGUAGCUGGUCUGAGAGGACGACCAGCCACACUGGGACUGAGAUACGGCCCAGACUCCUACGGGAGCAG